rnacentral:rRNA from 1 species
CUACGGGGGGCUCCAGUGAGGAAUAUUGCACAAUGGGGGGAACCCUGAUGCAGCAACGCCGCGUGGAGGAUGACGCAUUUCGGUGUGUAAACUCCUUUUAUAUGUCAAGAAAAUGACGGUAGCAUAUGAAUAAGCACCGGCUAACUCCGUGCCAGCAGCCGCGGUAAUACGGAGGGUGCAAGCGUUACUCGGAAUCACUGGGCGGAAAGGACGCGUGGGCGGGUUGGAAAGUCAGGUGUGAAAUCCUACAGCUUAACUGUAGAACUGCACUUGAAACUUCUAAUCUAGAGUAUGGGAGGGGGAGAUGGAAUUAGUGGUGUAGGGGUAAAAUCCGUAGAUAUCACUAGGAAUACCUAAAGCGAAGGCGAUCUCCUGGAACAUUACUGACGCUAAGGCGUGAAAGCGUGGGGAGCAAACAGGAUUAGAUACCCUCGUAGUC